AGCAAAGAAAGAAAUGGGCGUACAGUUAAGGCCUGGUUUGGGAAAUCGCGUGAUCCACAAGGAUUUUUAUGAACGUGGGCGAUAUGUAGCCCACAAUCGUGACGUAAGGUAUUCUCCCACGCAUUCAGAGUUAAUAAGACUGUACUGAGACAACCACCAAGCUGUGCUGCAAGUCAGAUCAGAGAACCAGCGUGGCCAGCUCUGGUGGCAGUAGCUACCUGCUAUAUAUGAUAAUGAUGACUAACUUAAGCUAUUCUUGAUCUAUACUAGCAUGUAGAAAGACACAAGAAAAGGCAAACCAGAAAAACUUUACUGCACUGGAUUUGGUCAAGCGAAUGCAGAGAUACAGAGUUUUGAAGAACACUAGUCAGGGAAAAAUUCGUACAAAAAUUUACUGCAUUUUAAUGUACUUGGGCGGGACUUAUGAAAUUUGUUGUUAAUACCGGAAA